rnacentral:rRNA from 1 species
AGACGGGGGGUGCUAGCGUUGUUCGGAAUUACUGGGCGUAAAGGGCGCGUAGGCGGCUCUGCGAGUCGGGCGUGAGAUCCCGGGGCUCAACCCCGGAACGGCGCUCGAUACUGCGGGGCUGGAGACCGGAAGAGGAGGGUGGAAUUCCCAGUGUAGAGGUGAAAUUCGUAGAUAUUGGGAGGAACACCGGUGGCGAAAGCGGCUCUCUGGUCCGGUUCUGACGCUGAGGCGCGAAAGCGUGGGGAGCAAACAGGAUUAGAAACCCUAGUAGUCC